GACGAACGCUGGCGGCGUGCUUAACACAUGCAAGUCGAACGGAAAGGCCCUGCUUUUGUGGGGUGCUCGAGUGGCGAACGGGUGAGUAACACGUGAGUAACCUGCCCUUGACUUUGGGAUAACUUCAGGAAACUGGGGCUAAUACCGGAUAGGAGCUCCUGCUGCAUGGUGGGGGUUGGAAAGUUUCGGCGGUUGGGGAUGGACUCGCGGCUUAUCAGCUUGUUGGUGGGGUAGUGGCUUACCAAGGCUUUGACGGGCAGCCGGCCUGAGAGGGUGACCGGCCACAUUGGGACUGAGAUACGGCCCAGACUCCUACGGGAGGCAGCAGUGGGGAAUAUUGCACAAUGGGCGGAAGCCUGAUGCAGCAACGCCGCGUGCGGGAUGACGGCCUUCGGGUUGUAAACCGCUUCCGCCUGUGACGAAGCGUGAGUGACGGUAAUGGGUAAAGAAGCACCGGCUAACUACGUG
rnacentral:rRNA from 1 species